rnacentral:lncRNA from 1 species
AUGGCGUUUUUCGGAGUUACAAACUGUGGCUACCAGAAUCCAAUUGCAGAUCGGAUGCUUACUAAAACUUCUAACGGCCCAGCUCGGGACAGAGUGUCAGAAUUACCCCCCAUUCAUCCCACGAGUAGACCAUCGUGCACCGACACAUGCAGUAUUUACAAACAACCUCUACCCUAUGGCAUUGACCUACACCGUGGCAGCCAACUGAGUUAUCAAGAAAUGCUUAAACGGCUUCAAACUCCAAGAUCCCCCAACCAGCUGUAUGUCAUGCCUGUGACUGACGCCCAGCAGUGCGGCUGGUGGCUGCCCAGUAGUGAAAAGUGGGCAAAGACGCGAAGGUUCCCUCGUUGCCACAGUGAGAUGACCAAAUUCGUGAUGGAGAUGUCCAUGACCGACCGAGAGUUCAGCUUGUUCUGA